CUGAAACAACUAAUCGAUUUAAUCGAUUAUUAAAAUAGUUAACAACUUUUUUAGUCAUCGAUUAGUUGUUUAAUAAUCAUAUUUUACCGCAUAAAGUCUAUUUUUACCACAAUCUGACAUCGGUUACAAGCUGUUAAAUUUGCCGCCAGUGUGUGGCAGUAAUGAGCCACUGAUCUACCAGUGGAGCCGUAGAAGAAGAAAUGAGCCAAUGAGUGCCCUCGGUUUUCAUGACGUAUCACGUUACUGAUGCUCAUCUUGCUGUGAGAGAUGGCGGAACAAGAGGAAAUACGGAAGAAAAAUAGAAGCGACAAAACUGAAGAGAAACCCCGGACAAAAACCUCACGAGUAUGGGAGCACUUCACUCUAGAUGCUUGAAAAGACGGGUGACCUGCAAAAUAUGCAAAAACCAUCUAGCAUGGCACGGAAGCACGACGUCCCUAAGUGAACAUUUGAGACGAAAGCAUGUGGGGGCUGAUGCAGCAGAGGAAGAGCACCGCGGUCAAGUGAGCCGUCAUUUGGAAGAGCCAGCCCGAAAAAAAGCAAGCAACGAUGGACAACUACAUGGGGAACAAGACACUCACCCCCCAGCAAUUCAUACCACUUACAAACUCUAUUCUAAACAUGCUGGUAAAAGACAUGAGGCCACUAUCCAUGGUGGAAGGAGCAGGCUUCCAGCUAAUGCUAAAAAAUUAUUCUGGACUGAUAUUUUGCACUGUUUAGCUCAUUUUAUACUGCUGACUGUGUUCAUGUGCUAUAAAAUAGAUUGCAGUCAACUGC